CCAGACAUAAAAAAAAAAAAAAAAAACACUUUGAAAUCCUAUACAUCUGGUUGAGAUAGAAGCUCUGUAAUAUGUGAAGGCAUUCCAAAUAUCUUGAUUAAAGAUUGUUUCCAGAGUGCAACCAACAUCAGUCUCCCAUGCACUGACAUGAUAAAACUGAUCAAACCAAGUGAGUGCCUUGAAUAGAUAUCUGCCCUUUUUGAC